AACUCUCAUGGAGUGAAACUGCAGAUGGCUCAUUAAAUCAGCUGUUGUUUAAUGGAGCGAGUCAAUCCUACAUGGAUAACUGUGGUAAUUCUAGAGCUAAUACAUGCGAUCAAGCGCUGACCUCACGGAAAGCGUGCUUUUAUUAGGAACAAGACCAGCCCGUGGCUCGUCCGCGGUCUCUGCUGGUGAACUCUAGAUAACUUAGCCGAUCGCACGGUCUAGCACCGGCGAUGGUUCCUUCAAAUGUCUGCCUUAUCAACUGUCGAUGGUAGGUUAUGCGCCUACCAUGGUCGUAACGGGUGACGGAGAAUCAGGGUUCGAUUCCGGAGAGGGAGCCUGAGAAACGGCUACCACAUCCAAGGAAGGCAGCAGGCACGCAAAUUACCCAAUCCCGACUCGGGGAGGUAGUGACGAAAAAUAACGAUCCAGGCCUCUUUACGAGGUUCUGUAAUCGGAAUGAGUACACUUUAAAUCCUUUAACGAGGAUCUACUGGAGGGCAAGUCUGGUGCCAGCAGCCGCGGUAAUUCCAGCUCCAGUAGCGUAUAUUAAAGCUGCUGCAGUUAAAAAGCUCGUAGUCGGAUCUCUGGCUUGGGCGAGCGGUCCGUCGCAAGGCGUGCACUGCUCGUGUCCCGGCCAGUCUACCGGUUAGCCGUGCGGUGCUCUUAACUGAGUGCCGUGCGCGGCCGGAACGUUUACUUUGAGAAAAUUGGAGUGUUCAAAGCAGGCACAACCGCCUGAACAGCUCAGCAUGGAAUAAUGGAAGAGGACCUCGGUUCUAUUUCGUUGGUCUCCGGAACGCGAGGUAAUGAUCAAAAGGGACAGACGGGGGCAUUCGUACUGCGGUGUGAGAGGUGAAAUUCUUGGAUCGCCGCAAGACGCCCAAAAGCGAAAGCAUUUGCCAAGAAUGUCUUCAUUGAUCAAGAACGAAAGUUGAGGGUUCGAAGGCGAUCAGAUACCGCCCUAGUCUUAACCAUAAACGAUGCCAACUUGCAACCCGCCGUAGUUCCUCCCAUGACACGGCGGGCAGCACCCGGGAAACCAAAGUGUUUGGGUUCCGGGGGAA
rnacentral:rRNA from 1 species